CUACGGGUUGCAGCAGUGGGGAAUAUUGGACAAUGGGCGAAAGCCUGAUCCAGCCAUGCCGCGUGAGUGACGAAGGCCUUAGGGUUGUAAAGCUCUUUUGGCGGGGACGAUAAUGACGGUACCCGCAGAAUAAGUCCCGGCUAACUUCGUGCCAGCAGCCGCGGUAAUACGAAGGGGACUAGCGGUGUUCGGAAUUACUGGGCGUAAAGCGCACGUAGGCGGAUUUGUAAGUCAGGGGUGAAAUCCCGGGGCUCAACCUCGGAACGGCCUUUGAUACUGCAAGUCUCGAGUCCGAUAGAGGUGGGUGGAAUUCCUAGUGUAGAGGUGAAAUUCGUAGAUAUUAGGAAGAACACCGGUGGCGAAGGCGGCCCACUGGAUCGGUACUGACGCUGAGGUGCGAAAGCGUGGGGAGCAAACAGGAUUAGAUACCCGAGUAGUC
rnacentral:rRNA from 1 species